GACGAACGCUGGCGGCGUGCUUAACACAUGCAAGUCGAACGGAAAGGCCCUGCUUUUGUGGGGUGCUCGAGUGGCGAACGGGUGAGUAACACGUGAGUAACCUGCCCUUGACUUUGGGAUAACUUCAGGAAACUGGGGCUAAUACCGGAUAGGAGCUCCUGCUGCAUGGUGGGGGUUGGAAAGUUUCGGCGGUUGCGGAUGGACUCGCGGCUUAUCAGCUUGUUGGUGGGGUAGGUGCUUACCCAGGCAUUGACGGAUCGCCGGCCUGAGAGGGUGACCGGCCACAUUGGGACUGAGAUACGGCCCAGACUGCUACGGGAGGCAGCAGUGGGGAAUAUUGCACAAUGGGCGGAAGCCUGAUGCAGCAACGCCGCGUGUGUGAUGACGGCCUGCGGGUUGUAAACCGCUUUCGCCUGUGACGAAGCGGGAGUGACGGUAAUGGGUAAAGAAGCACCGGCUAACUACGUG
rnacentral:rRNA from 1 species